AUCCAAUGUGAUUGCCUCCACAAGGGCCCAACUAGUGACCACUUCAGGAAGGUAGAAAAUUGGAAGAAAAACAGGCAUAACUGGAGUCACUUGGGAAAGGGGUGCUUAUUCUAUUUUUAUUUUUUUACUAUUCUUUGGCCUUCACAGGU